GAAGCGGACCGCUGAAGAGGAGGUAGAUGAGGGGGUUGGCGCAGCUGUUGAGACUGGCCAGCAACAUCAGGAUGGUGAAGGUGGCACCUGCAAUGACAACAGGUCACAACAUUAGGGUUUGCAGGUGAGCUGGAGCCUAUCCCAGCUGACUUCAGACGGAAUCCACCCUUGACUGGUCGCCAGUCAAUCACAGGGCCCAUACAAUAUCCACAAAAAAAAAGCAUUCACAUUCACAAGUUGGACGGUGAAGAAGGGGGACCAGCACACCACGUAGGCCAGCACAAUGACCACGGUCAUCUUGAGGGUCUUCACUCUGGCUUUGGACAUGCCGGCCACGCCGUUGGCUCUGCGGGGCAGCGCGCCGGCCACGC